UUCACUGCUUUUACCUUCAUUGUGUCCGUUAACUGUAUCGAAUUCAACCGCAAAGAUGUGGUUUGAUUCAUCACCAUCAUUCGUGGAGUUGAGAAUUCCCAGAAAAUGCCCACUGUCAGCCCCUUGUAGGUCUGUAGAUGGUGAUAACAAAAAUGCGAGGCCGUAGCCGCCUCCGUCAGAGCCGGAGGGAAUGAUUGAGAAAACAAAGGAGGUGCUGAAUGAAGAAAUAUUGUUGGAAGAGUUCAACAGAUUGAUUGGGUCAGGAUAGAAUGCAUGCCCGAUUACAUCACGUGACCUGUUGGUGAGCUUAAGUGCGCCACUGGGUUUUAUAAUAGUGGCACCCUUCAGAGUGAAGUUUUUUUCUGUGCGAUUGAAACCAUUGUACACAAAAUCAAGAGAUGAAGACUGAGAUUGUGCAGCGCCAUUAACGAUGAAAAAGAAGAAAAGGAGGAAGAGAAGGCAAGGAGCUAAAGAAAAGGAGGAGGCCAUGGAAGCGUGAAUAAGAGAAGAACCAGUUGAGGAAGAUAAUGAUAUAGAUUUCAGAGAGAAGACCGGAGAAGUGGAAUUGUCGAAGUCAAGAAGCAUUGAUUGUGAAGAAACGCUAAACGGCAUUAGGAGUUGGGAGCGACGACAGUGACAAUGAGACAGUCAUGUCAUAUUCCAUUUUCACCCCAUGCCACGAUACUGGGAGAAGAGCCGUGCUGAUACAGCCAUACAGGUUUGAACCUUUCAAGCCUCUAGACUUGCUCACCCUCUGAUCAUGCCCUCGAGACCACAUCAACCGCAUGAUCACGUUGACUUCCAAAUCCAAUGCCGCCUCUACAAGGCUACUUGGCCUUCUGUCUUGUAUUCGCCUAUUGAAGGUCUUGUACAUAUAAAAGUUUUUGAAAAAGUUUCUCUUAUCAUAUUAAAUUACUAAAAACAGUCGACAAAAAUGAAGUGGAAAUGCUUUAUAUUUAUUUUCGUGCGAAAUUGAAUGAUAAAUCAACGACGCGUGAAAGUCUAGCAAAUAAGAAGACUGGGUUUUUCCUGGUAGGCGUGCAAUUGAUGUUGACCCAAGAAAAAUAAAGAAAAUGAACUCGUAAACUACUUUCACAUUUGAACAUCGAGCAAAUUUAGCACGAUCAGGUCAUAUGGCGUUAGAUAGCGGUUUGUUUGAUUCAUCGUUGGGCGGUGGUAUGAACGGGAUGUGGGUCACUUUUACCAUUAUUUGUACUCAUUGAUUAUUCCAAUUGGCAUGGCCUCCAUCACCCUUUGAUCUGGAUUUCUUGGAUUGGAUGGUUUUUCUAUGGAAUUGAAUUUUGUUAUUUAUCAUAUAUACCACGAGGUGAAGCAUGAGAUGUGUGGUGAUGAUCUCUUCUUGGAUACAUUAUUAAAGAUGACCCAUUACAUUCUCUAAACAUUAAAAUAAUUAUAAUCAUUAUAAUCAUAAUAAUCAUCAUCUUUUAAGUUUAUUUGAAUCAUAUGAAGAACAAAAAAAAUUCAAAUAAUUAAAAAAAUGUUAUAUAUAAUUAAUAGAAAUUAUUUAGAAACUUACAAAUUUUGAAAGAAUAAUAAAUAAAUUUGAAGAAUCAUGAGAGAAAGUUUUAUUCAAUUUAUAUUUAGUUGUUUUAUUUGAAUUAUGCAGUAAAAUCCAAGUUUUCUUGUUCAAUUUAUCAUUUAAAUUCCAAAAAAAAUAAAAAUUAAAUAUAAUACAAAUGGUUUUAAGGUGUAUAAAAUUUUAAGUUCUUCCUUCUUUAGAAAAAGAAAUAAAAUUCUAAAUAGAAUAAAAGAAAUAAAUUUUAAAAACUCAAUGAAAAGUAUUUAUUUAGUUCAUACUUUUAACUUUUAAUUUUCCUUCCUUCCUUUAUCUAUUUAUUUAUUUUGGUUUUCUCUUGAUACAAUACCAAAAGCCGAGAUCAACUAUAUCAUGUCAUGUUUUAAGUUUCGUACUUUAUCUCCAAAUCACCUUUUAUCUCAUUAUUUUUUAUACUUUGAUCCUAUUUGUUUAUAUCUUGUUCUAGUAUAUUUUUAUCAUCAUCUAACAACUUAGUUUUCAUUAUAUAUUUUCAAUAGAUUUUAUUAUACACUUUCAAUAAUUUAGAUUACAUUUUUAACAAAUAUUGAUUCGAAGCCCUAAAAUUUCCUAAAAAUCAAACGGUUUUAAGUUCUAUAUUUGUUUUAUCAAAUUUUAGAUGUUAACGAGUCCCUUUCAACAUGUCACUAGAUGCUUACAUUUUAUUCAUUUUCAAUAAGACAUUCAUUUUAAAUAACGUGAUUAAUAUUUCGGUUUAAAUAUAUGUCAUCUUCUUCAACAUAGUUAUAAUUGGAGUUCAUGUUUUUCUAUUAAUAAGCCCUUGUGUUUCUUGACUAAUUUUACUAAAAAUCAUCUAAAAUCGAGCUUUAAUUAGUAAUGGCUAAUGAAAGAAUGAUUUGAUCCAUGAAAUUGUCUUGAUCCCAAUCAUUUUUCAUAGAUAACAAGUGCUAUCAUGAUAUGAGAUUUGACUAAGUUAAUACAUGUUAAUAGUCUAAAAAUAUUGAGAUUGAAUAAUAAAAUGUAAAGGGAUAAAAAGUCAAUGUUAGAUUAAAAAAAAUCGGUAUCAUUGUCUCACAAUGUUCCAUGGAUUAGAAGAACAAAGAGGUGAACAUUCUCAAAGACAAGUGCCAUUUAAAAAAUUGAGGAGUUUGAGACUUGAUUCAAAUUUUUUAUUUAAUCCAUCAAUUGAAUAGCAUAUUUGGUCUUCCAGGAAAUCCAAAUUAUUGGGUGAUGAUUAGAACUAAAAUAAUUAUUUAUAUUAGAUUUUGUGGAAAGCAAGGAGAAAUAAUUCUUAAAUAAGCAUAUGUCAAUUGAUUAUCAUUUGAGCAUUGAUUUUCACAUUUUCUUUGUAGGGUAUUUGUUUUGAUUUGUGUGUUACCUCCAAGCAGAAACUCUCACUAAUGGGGCUCCUCUCCAUUCUAAGACCAUCAUAUUCAUAUUGUUUCCUUCAAUCUUCACCCCAUAUUUACUCUCCCCUUCUCUCACCAUCUGUUUGGCUUCCAUUAAGCUCUCUUGGCUCACUCUCCACCCCUCCAACCCCAAUAUUGAGUCAACAUUAGAGUCACCUCCCUUCAUCUCCUCCCACUUCUGGAACCAACCCAGAGAUGAGACAUGAGGUGCCACAAAGAGACACUCCAUGGCUAUUCUUGCUUCUGCAAAAUGAGUUGGGAAGGUCCACUCCAUUGAUUCUAACAGGGCUUGGUAAUGUAUUAAAUAUUCAUUAAAGAAUAACCUAAAACUCGAAGUGUUCUUCUGUUUCUCCCAGCCAUCUCCAUCACCGAAAGUUAUGAUGCCCCUGUUGUUAUUUUUAGAAUGGACAGUUAGUUCCUUGGCUACCGUCAUGAACUCCAUAGCCUGCCUUCUUCUGCCGGUACUCCCCAUGUGUGAAAGGCCCAUCAUACAAUUAAAAGCCAGCCAUUCACUUCUUCCACCCUUUUUCUUCGUUCUCUUUAUCUCAUUCAUCAACCCCUGCAGCUCCAUCUCCUCUACCUUCAGCUUUAGGCCAACGGAUCUGGCGUGAUUGUAGAGAUGCCUCUUUGUCUCCUCGAAUCUCCAUUGUGAAGCAGCACAAACAUAACCCUCCUCCCUUCGCUUGAUCGAUGUGAGUCUUACUGUCUUUUGGUGGUGUUGCCCUAUGGCAUCGAUCAUUGAAGACCAUUGUAACCCUUCUCCCAUGUCGAAGUCAACUAUGUGUAUGGUCUCAGCAUCGUGAGGCAUGGCCUCAAGGAUUGCCGAGUUGGCUGCAAAGUGAGCAAACUUCCCAUAUGGGAAGAUUUGGUAGAACGCUUUGAAGGCUACAUUGAAGUUCUUGGCAGACUCUUGUCUGAGGUAGUUUGUUUGCUUGUCUGUGGGUUGGAAUAAGUAAUAUGAAAGCCGCUCCACAACCUCACCAGCAGGGCUUACUUUUUCCUGGAUGCGGUUCAUCAACACAACUGCAAGCUCUGCCUCUCCCUUCUCCACAGCUUCUCCAUAGGCCAUGACCAGAUGAACAAUGCUCAGUUCAUUAUCCAUUUCCACGUCCUCUGUAGGCAAGGUUAACAAAGCUUCAAUCGAGUCCACGUCCAUAGAUGCAUCAGCUGACUUCAUGGAUGGGCUAAAGCUCCAGUUGUCGUCUCCUUCAACAGAGGGUUGUUUAGAAGGAUAACUUUUCUGUCUCUCCUCCAACCAUCCAAACGUAUCCUCAGUAUCAUUGCUCAAAAUGGUCUCAAACUCCUCCAAAUUUAGUGAAUAAACAUCAUUCGGUAGUGUAUGUUGAACCUCAUCAAUAUGAAUGGGAAAAUCCAUGUACUCAUCAGACAACGUUGUUGGAGGAUAUGGGAUGAAUUCAACAUCAGGACUGUCCUUAAUUGUGUUGAAAAGGGAGAACCCGGACUCCAUGUCUGCAUCAAUGCCUAGUCCAUAAACUGCAAUUUCAUCAAGACAUGAAUCUAUGUCGUUGAAGCAUGGCCAUGGGAACUGAAGAAGCUCAUCAGGCUGCAUCAUCUUUUAACAAGAAGAGCAAAGGAAGUGAUCUGGAGUUCUAUAUAAAAGGCUUGACUAUUUAUAGGUGAUGGGCCAAAAUCAGACAAGAUAGAUUUCUUUCCAUCAAAAUUCCCAAGUUAAGUCAUCUUCCUCCCCUGUCCGUUUCUGAAGGGAAUUAAGUAAUCUUUAUAUCAUACUUGCCAUAUAUUCAAGAAAGGUACCAUAACUGCUUGUUCUAUUCUCCUUUUGUUUAUGGUUGUGCCGCUUUCAAAGUAAAUGCCAGGCCUUUCAUGAGAGCCUUGAUUGUGAUACAAUUAUAUAAAUAUUAAGGGAAAAAACAAACAAACGGCUUACUCAUUAAGCUUCCAUUCUGGUGCAUUGUGGCCUAAUUAGUUCUUUCAGGCACGUUCAGGUGUUCAUGAAAGAUGAUUCUGCCAUUCACCACCUGGUUACUUUGAAUGAGUUCAUUUUGCUUUUCACAGCAGCUCUGAAGACUAUCUGCCUCAAGAAAAGAAGAAGAAAAGAAUAGGGAAUCUAAGAUAUGAUCAACAAACUAUACCAUAAGCUAGACCAACACCAUUAGUUGUUCCUCAUCAAACUUAUCAAUUUGUUUUGUUGUUUUUCUUGUUUAUUUACCUUUUUUUUCCAUGUAUUAUUAUUUUAAUGAGCGCAAGGUUGAGAGAAGUUCAGACAGACAGACACCCACCCAAAAAUUUUACUAGUUUGCUCCAUAUCUAUUGAAUUUCACAGUGCUUUCAAACAGACCUGUCAAUGUCGACUUGUAAAUUGAUUCCUGCUUUUGUUGUUUCUUAACUAUUACUUAAUCAUUGUCAGGAUGAUAAUAAAUUGUUAUCCAGUUAAUAAGGACAAGAUAUUGUUAGGAUGAUAAUGAAAUGCUGUCCAGUUAAUACGGACAAGAAGAAAAAGUCUUGAAGCAGAGAGCAUGCCGCAACUUAAUAUAAAUUUGAUGCCAUUAACAUACUUUUGUCUUCUAAUCCAGGAGCCACCAUAUCCAGAAUUCAAGGCUUCUUGGGCUAAUUCAUGGAAAGUUGAGGUGCACGUCUUGACUAACGCAUGUAAUGAUAGGGAGUUAUGAUGCAAACAGUUUUUUUGUUUGAAGACACUCUUAUGAUAAUGGAGGAUAACAAUGGAGAUGAUGGAGAUGAAUCAUCCAGUGUUUGAAAGAACACAUUCACCAGAUGGAGCUUCUGCUUCCCAUCAUCUUGCUUGAGUUUGAUUUAAAUCCUUGGACUACUUGAGAUUGCAGUCUCGUCUCAUCAAUGGCAGUGAAAAUUCCUUGACCAGCAGUGACAAUGCUACAUACCAUAACUUUUUUUUGUUGAACUGUCAAGAUUUUCAGCUUACUUUUUGUGAUAACAAGAGUUCAGAGCAAAUGUCUCGGUCAUUUUCGUCAAUGAAUUAAAAUCAUUAAUGCCAUACUGGCAAAUGGUGAUUAAGGGAAGGAAUCUACAUGUUAUAUCAGGUUGAAAUUCGUAAGUACGUUCGCAUGGAUAGAAUGUUGAGUUUGUUUGAUUCAUCCGUGUAAUGGAUUGCCUGCUGAGUGCCACAUCAGAGUCCAUAACCCCAGGUAUUCAGAUUACUUAUUUUGUUUGAUUCGUCGACUAGUGUCGUGGCUGUAUGUUUGGAGACAGGAAUUAAGUAUCUAUCAUAAAAAUAUGGUGCCUAGGCAUGGAUGUCCGUCCACUGCAUCAUUUCAUCAAACACCCCUAAUGACUUAAAACUCUGUAUGUUGAUUAUGAGUCUUUGAUUGGGAACGAGGACUAAGGAUAUCUUGGAUUAAAGUUCAGAGGAAUAUGGCUAUAGUAUAUAAAAGAAUCAACCAGACAAAUAUGGAAAAGACAGAGCCUUUUCCUCUCAGCAUCCUCGGAUUCCCUGAUUUGAAGCAUGCGACCCAAUAGAGUAAAUUUAAAAGAAAAGACGAUGGUCAUGAAGAUAAUUUGGGAGAAGCUUUCAUGCAAGUGCUGCACAAAUGAGGACACCUUUAGGCCUAUAAAAGAAUAGUUUGUUUAUCUGUCACUAACCCUGUAUUCUAUUAACGUCAAUCAAUAGUAAAAUUGCCUCAAAUAGUAUUAAAAUACAUCAAAAGCGCAUGAAUAUUGGAAUGUUUAUCAAACUCCCACUUAUCCAUGAUCAAGCAUACGACAAAAUUCUUUCGGGCACGUUCAGGUGUUCACGAAUGAUAAUUCGGCCAUUCACCACCUGGUUACUUCGAAUGAGUCCAUUUUGCUUUUCACGGCAGCUCUUAAGCCUAGCUGCCUCAAAAAAAAAAGGGAAAAGAAGAAGGAAGAGGGAGUCUAUGAUAUAAUCAACAAAAAAUACCAUAUGCUAGAUCAACACCAUUACUUGCUCCCCAUCAAAUUUACCAUUUUGUUUUGUUGUUUGGCUUCUUUCUUUACCAAUUUUCCAUCCAUUGGUCUUUUAUUCAGGAAAAUAUUUAAGAUUAGUUCAAAGAUACUCCUACUCAAAAAUUUCACCAACUUCACAAUGCUUUCAAACAGACAUGUCGUUGUCGACAUGGAAAUUGAUUCCUGCUUUAGCUGUUUCUUAACUAUUACUUAAUCAUUGUCAGGAUGAUAAUGAAUCCUUAUCCAGUUAAUAAGGACAAGAAGGAAAAGUCUUGAAGCAGAGAGCAUACCGUAACUUAAUAUAAAUUUAAUACCAUUAACAUGGAGACCUUUGUCUUCUAAUCCAGGUGCCACCUGUCCAGAAUUCAAGAUUUUCUUGGGCUACUGCAUGAAAAGUUGUGGUGCCCGUAUUGGCUAACACGUAUAUUGAUAUUGAUAGGAAGUUAAGAUGCAAACGCCUCUUAAUUCAGUUCACCAUGCCUUUGGGAUAUUUUUGGUUUGAACCAUUGACUGAUGUUAUGGUUUUUCGUAUUUGAGGAUCAGGAGGAAUAAGGAUGUCUUAUGGAAAUGUCUAACUUGUAUCAGCCCAACACUAUCAUGAUAAUGAAGGAUAACCAUAGAGAUGAAUCAUCAAUGGUGCUUCUCCUUCCCAUCAUC
rnacentral:lncRNA from 1 species